GACGAACGUUGGCGGCGUGCUUAAUACAUGCAAGUCCACUGAAGCAGUGGUAGCAAUAUCGCUGUGGAGGUGGCGCACGGGUGAGUAACACGUAGGUAAUCUGCCUUCAGGUCUGGCAUAACUCCGGGAAACCGGGGCUAAUAGCAGAUGAUGCAGCGGCUCGACAUCGAGACAGUUGUUAAAGCUAUGGCGCCUGAAGAUGAGCCUGCGUCUGAUUAGCUAGUUGGCGGGGUAACGGCCCACCAAGGCAACGAUCAGUAGCUGGUCUGAGAGGAUGAUCAGCCACACUGGAACUGAGACACGGUCCAGACUCCUACGGGAGGCAGCAGUAAGGAAUAUUGCUCAAUGGGAGAAAUCCUGAAGCAGCAACGCCGCGUGAGGGACGAAGGGCUUUGGCUUGUAAACCUCUGUAGUGAGAGAAAAAAAUCCCAAUCUUUGGGACAUGAUGGUAUCUCAAAAGUAAGCCCCGGCUAACUACGUG
rnacentral:rRNA from 1 species